rnacentral:misc_RNA from 1 species
GAAAUGCGAUAAGUAAUGUGAAUUGCAGAAUUCAGUGAAUCAUCGAAUCUUUGAACGCACAUUGCGCCCGCCAGUAUUCUGGCGGGCAUGUCUGUCCGAGCGUCAUUUCAACCAUCAAGCCCCCGGGCUUGUGUUGGGGACCUGCGGCUGCCCGCAGGCCCUGAAAACCAGUGGCGGGCUCGCUGUCACACCGAGCGUAGUAGCAAUCACCUCGCUCAGGGCGUGCUGCGGGUUCCGGCCGUUAAACAGCCUUACAAAACCCCAGGUUGACCUCGGAUCAGGUAGGAAGACCCGCUGAACUUAAGC